GAUGAACGCUGGCGGCGUGCCUAAUACAUGCAAGUCGAACGAAACUUCUUUAUCACCGAGUGCUUGCACUCACCGAUAAAGAGUUGAGUGGCGAACGGGUGAGUAACACGUGGGCAACCUGCCCAAAAGAGGGGGAUAACACUUGGAAACAGGUGCUAAUACCGCAUAACCAUAGUUACCGCAUGGUAACUAUGUAAAAGGUGGCUAUACUACCGCUUUUGGAUGGGCCCGCGGCGCAUUAGCUAGUUGGUAGGGUAAAGGCUUACCAAGGCAAUGAUGCGUAGCCGAAUUGAGAGGUUGAUCGGCCACAUUAGGACUGAGACACGGCCCAAACUCCUACGGGAGGCAGCAGUAGGGAAUCUUCCACAAUGGGCGAAAGCCUGAUGGAGCAACGCCGCGUGGGUGAAGAAGGUCUUCGGAUCGUAAAACCCUGUUGUUAGAGAAGAAAGUGCGUGAGAGUAACUGUUCACGUUUCGACGGUAUCUAACCAGAAAGCCACGGCUAACUACGUG
rnacentral:rRNA from 1 species